GACGAACGCUGGCGGCGUGCUUAACACAUGCAAGUCGAACGGAAAGGCCCUGCUUUUGUGGGGUGCUCGAGUGGCGGACGGGUGAGUAACACGUGAGUAACCUGCCCUUGACUUUGGGAUAACUUCAGGAAACUGGGGCUAAUACCGGAUAGGAGCUCCUGCUGCAUGGUGGGGGUUGGAAAGCUUCGGCGGUUGGGGAUGGACUCGCGGCUUAUCAGCUUGUUGGUGGGGUAGUGGCUUACCAAGGCUUUGACGGGUAGCCGGCCUGAGAGGGUGACCGGCCACAUUGGGACUGAGAUACGGCCCAGACUCCUACGGGAGGCAGCAGUGGGGAAUAUUGCACAAUGGGCGGAAGCCUGAUGCAGCAACGCCGCGUGCGGGAUGACGGCCUUCGGGUUGUAAACCGCUUUCGCCUGUGACGAAGCGUGAGUGACGGUAAUGGGUAAAGAAGCACCGGCUAACUACGUG
rnacentral:rRNA from 1 species